AUACGGAGGGUGCAAGCGUUACUCGGAAUCACUGGGCGUAAAGCGCGCGCAGGCGGUCUUUUAAGUUGGAUGUGAAAGCCUACGGCUCAACCGUAGAAUUGCAUCCAAAACUAUUAGACUAGAGUGUGGGAGAGGAAGAUGGAAUUAGUUGUGUAGGGGUAAAAUCCGUAGAGAUAACUAGGAAUACCAAAAGCGAAGGCAAUCUUCUGGAACACUACUGACGCUGAGGCGCGAAAGCGUGGGGAGCAAACAGGAUUAGAAACCCGGGUAGUCC
rnacentral:rRNA from 1 species